rnacentral:rRNA from 1 species
UACAGAGGGUGCGAGCGUUAAUCGGAGUUACUGGGCGUAAAGGGCGCGUAGGCGGUGAGAUGUGUGUGAUGUGAAAGCCCCGGGCUUAACCUGGGAAGUGCAUCGCAAACUAUCUGACUAGAGUAGAUGAGAGGGUGAUGGAAUUUCCGGUGUAGCGGUGAAAUGCGUAGAGAUCGGAAGGAACGUCAAUGGCGAAGGCAGUCACCUGGCAUCAUACUGACGCUGAGGCGCGAAAGCGUGGGGAGCGAACAGG